GCCUUGAAGAUCGGAGUGCUUGCACUCUGUGAAACAAGAUACAGGCUAGCGGCGGACGGGUGAGUAACACGUGGGUAACCUGCCCAAGAGAUCGGGAUAACACCUGGAAACAGAUGCUAAUACCGGAUAACAACAGAUGAUGCCUAUCAACUGUUUAAAAGAUGGUUCUGCUAUCACUCUUGGAUGGACCUGCGGUGCAUUAUCUAGUUGGUAGGGUAACGGUCUACCAAGGCGAUGAUGCAUAGCCGAGUUGAGAGACUGAUCGGCCACAUUGGGACUGAGACACGGCCCAAACUCCUACGGGAGGCAGCAGUAGGGAAUCUUCCACAAUGGACGCAAGUCUGAUGGAGCAACGCCGCGUGAGUGAAGAAGGGUUUCGGCUCGUACAGCUCUGUUGUUGGUGAAGAAGGACAGGGGUAGUAACUGACCUUUGUUUGACGGUAAUCAAUUAGAAAGUCACGGCUAACUACGUGCCAGCAGCCGCGGUAAUACGUAAGUGGCAAGCGUUGUCCGGAUUUAUUGGGCGUAUAGCGAGUGCAGGCGGCUCGAUAAGUCUGAUGUGAAAGCCUUCGGCUCAACCGGAGAAUUGCAUCAGAAACUGUCGAGCUUGAGUACAGAAGAGGAGAGUGGAACUCCAUGUGUAGCGGUGAAAUGCGUAGAUAUAUGGAAGAACACCGGUGGCGAAGGCGGCUCUCUGGUCUGUUACUGACGCUGAGGCUCGAAAGCAUGGGUAGCGAACAGGAUUAGAUACCCUGGUAGUCCAUGCCGUAAACGAUGAGUGCUAAGUGUUGGGAGGUUUCCGCCUCUCAGUGCUGCAGCUAACGCAUUAAGCACUCCGCCUGGGGAGUACGACCGCAAGGUUGAAACUCAAAGGAAUUGACGGGGGCCCGCACAAGCAGUGGAGCAUGUGGUUUAAUUCGAAGCAACGCGAAGAACCUUACCAGGUCUUGACAUCCAUAGCCAGUCUAAGAGAUUAGAUGUUCCCUUCGGGGACUAUGAGACAGGUGGUGCAUGGCUGUCGUCAGCUCGUGUCGUGAGAUGUUGGGUUAAGUCCCGCAACGAGCGCAACCCUUGUCAUUAGUUGCCAGCAUUAAGUUGGGCACUCUAAUGAGACUGCCGGUGACAAACCGGAGGAAGGUGGGGAUGACGUCAAGUCAUCAUGCCCCUUAUGACCUGGGCUACACACGUGCUACAAUGGACGGUACAACGAGAAGCGACCCUGUGAAGGCAAGCGGAUCUCUGAAAGCCGUUCUCAGUUCGGAUUGCAGGCUGCAACUCGCCUGCAUGAAGCUGGAAUCGCUAGUAAUCGCAAAUCAGCACGUUGCGGUGAAUACGUUCCCGGGCCU
rnacentral:rRNA from 1 species